UGGGGAAUAUUGCACAAUGGAGGGAACUCUGAUGCAGCGACGCCGCGUGAACGAAGAAGGCUUUCGAGUCGUAAAGUUCUUUUAUAUGGGAAGAUAAUGACGGUACCAUAAGAAAAAGACCCGGCUAACUACGUGCCAGCAGCCGCGGUAAUACGUAGGGGGCUAGCGUUGUCCGGAAUCACUGGGCGUAAAGGGUUCGCAGGCGGAAAUGCAAGUCAGGUGUAAAAGGCAGUAGCUUAACUACUGUAAGCAUUUGAAACUGCAUAUCUUGAGAAGAGUAGAGGUAAGUGGAAUUUUUAGUGUAGCGGUGAAAUGCGUAGAUAUUAAAAAGAAUACCGGUGUCGAAGGCGACUUACUGGGCUCAUUCUGACGCUGAGGAACGAAAGCGUGGGUAGCAAACAGG
rnacentral:rRNA from 1 species